rnacentral:rRNA from 1 species
UACGAAGGGUGCAAACGUUGCUCGGAAUUAUUGGGCGUAAAGCGCACGUAGGCGGCCUUGUAAGUCGGAUGUGAAAUCCCUCGGCUUAACCGAGGACGUGCAUCCGAAACUGUGAGGCUCGAGUAUGGAAGAGGGUCGCAGAAUUCCCGGUGUAGAGGUGAAAUUCGUAGAUAUCGGGAGGAAUACCAGUGGCGAAGGCGGGUCUCUGGACAGUUCCUGACACUGAGAUACGAAGGCCAGGGGAGCAAACGGG